rnacentral:tRNA from 1 species
UGGGGCGUCGUCUAACGGUAGGACAGCGGCCUUUGGAGCCGUGUGUGGAGGUUCGAAUCCUCCCGCCCCAGCCA